AAAAUAAAAGAAGUGAGAAGUGAAAUUAUAUAUGGAAAUUGUGUCAAGCUGCAUAUUCCAAUCAGAAAUCAAUACCAGGUUUUAGAUCCCAGAUGCAUUACAUUCUUCAAGUAGUUUUAUCAAAUUAUGUUCAGGAGCACUGAUGGACGGUAGGAUCAAUCUACUGCUCUGGAUUGGCCGCGGCUUUGUCCCAGGAGACUCAGAUUCAAGGGCCCCACCUUCUUUCAUAACAGGCAAGUCAGCUCUCCUCCUCACAGUUGCAGAUACUCGCUCUUUCCAUAGUCUUCCAUCAUUAAGUAUUGAAGGUUCAGGUAGUGGGCACUGAAUUGGUUGAUCACUGUCGAAAGGCUCAGUUGGGUGCUCAACUGGCUUAAACUCUACUGCUACUUCAAUCCCAUGAGGAGCAGAAGCAGCGCCAGUGGCUGCCCUGGUAAGGUCUGCAUUUGGAGGCAAUACUUCCCUCUCAUC
rnacentral:misc_RNA from 1 species